GAGCGCCGAGCUCCGACGCGGCAGCCUCACCUGCAGCCUCGCCCCGCCGUCCAGCCCGACCAGCGGCCGCCAGGGGGAGCUGAGACCCCAGCCACGGCGCAGGCCGCCUCUGCCCGUCCGCGGCUCCGAAGAACCCAACCAAGUUUCAGCCCAGGACAAGUCUCCUCCGCAGGCAGCGGUAACGCCAGACGUCCCUGCGCCGCCCGCCUGUUGCAUGCUUUGCUUCCUCCCCGCUCGCUGCCUACGGUCGUGCCGCCCCGUGCUCCGCUCCCCGCCCCCGACCUCCGGCCGCGGUCCGGCACGAGCGAGCCCUCAGCCGCCAGAAUAGUAUGAGGCGGUGUGGGACAAACAAGGGGAAGGAUCUCUUCCUCAUUAAAGAAAUGAAAACGGGAAUGCGGUAAAGACCCACAAGCAGGAGACAGUGUGUCUCAGUUACUAUGACACCUGCAUGCAACUCCGCGGCUCAGAGACGCUGGAGCAGUUGUGAAUCCCGUUGUAUUCGACAUAUGGAAUUUCUCACAGAUACCUGAGAUCGCGCUUCAGCGUGAGCCAACCCAAGGUCUGAUCUCCACUAUUAUAGUAACUUAGGAAUCAUAGCAACCCAGUAAAAUAUCAAGCCUCAGCAACACACAAGCCUAUCCCCAGUUGGGGAUUGGUGAUACCUUCAGACCCCUCCAAUUCCAUUCCAUUUUGCUAAAAUGGACAGGUCCGUCCAUUAAAAACUGAGUGCCUUGCUUAGAUCAUUUCUUUUUAUGACUACAUGGUAGACCAUUACUAGCAGAAAAAAUUUCAAAUAAUUUAUCUUAGAUAUAAGAUAUCUCACUUUUUUCCCUAUGGCUCCUCUGCCCAGUAGCAACCCCAGUGACCAGUUGCGAUUUUUCUGACUACUGAAGUUCUUUUUUAUCAUCCUCAUCUCUGCUCAGAUGCUUAAAUUCCUCUAAAAAUACCUCUUAGGUUUUCAAGUUAGAAUGAAUUACUCGAGCACUUUAUGAUUUGUAUCUAUAUCCAGCCCUUAGGUCCUUUGUUUUGUGCUUACUCCUGUACUAUAGUCAAAGUUCCUUCAGGUCAUUAGCAGUCUCUCAAUCCCCUCUGUAAGUUCUGCAUCUGUGUUUGAAAUGAGUUGUACCUUUAACAGUUGGGCUCCCAUAGAGCAGGGUCACAGAGGUUCAUUCUGA
rnacentral:lncRNA from 1 species